rnacentral:tRNA from 3 species
GCCCAGAUGGCGAAAUAGGUAGACGCUAAGGUCUUAAACACCUUUGACCAUUGGUCGUGCGGGUUCGACUCCCGCUCUGGGUAC